AAGAAAGGCAGCUCCACCCUAGGACACAGGUGGGCGUCAUGACCAUGACAACCAGCAAGCCGAGGGGACGUUCGGGACAAGAGGGAUGGUGGACAUAGGAGGGCACCUCAGGCUCAGCCCCCAGCAGGCCCAGAGCACACAGCUGCCAGAAAGGAGUUCCGGCCCGGGGUUCCAGGCCUGUUUGCUAUGGAAGAGCAGGCUCCUGGAGCAUCGCCAAGGCCCGUUGCCUGGAUGGAGGCAGUUUCCACGCGGCACAUUUGGGUGGAAACGCCUAGAGGGAGAAUCUGCAGAAUCUGGGGGCACCUCACACCGGACGCUUCUCGGGCCCUCCGCAGGUGCGGCCAGGCUUGGGCCCUGACUGUCUCCCAGGUGACCUCCAUCUCUGCCCCACCAGCCCGGCUCUGGACCCUGGCCUGCAGAAGGCCCCUCACCACGCCGACAGGGGCCUGUAAAAUGCAAACCCAGCUGUAUCCACCAACUGCUUCCACCACGCAGGUGAAGCUGCCUUCUGCCCAGGGCCAGGAGCUCACGGGGCGUGGCCCGGCCACCUCGGCGACUUCAUGGAGCACCACCCACCUUCACCCUUCACUGAGCCCCCACAGCCCUGCGCCUCGGGGACCCACCCCGGCGGGGCUCGCUCCAGGAGGGGGCUGGGCUGUCGCUGGCUCCACUGGGCCCCUCACACAUGCUGUUCCCACCUCUGGAACACGGUUCCUGACUACUCCCGUCACCUCACCCCACUCACUUGGAAAGGUGGACGCCCGUCACAGCCCCACCCCGACCUGUGUAGCUCUGUGUGGGGCCCUGGCCGCGCUGUAAGUUCCACAAGCCUCUGUGGACCUCGCGGGUGGCCGUCUCUCCCCAUGCCCAGCACAGUAGCCAGCACAUCCUGGAGGUGCACGCGGUGUGUGCCAGGUGAGCUGAUGUCUACAGAGCUGCCACCUGCCACUCUGCCGUCCACCUGCAUUACUGGGUUUCUGGGCCGUUCCAUUUAUCCUUCAGAUGAACACAGUCGCUCUCCUCCUUCCUGCUCUUUCUCUGCUCCGAAAGCCCCCUUGCUUCGGUGUCUGGGAUCUGAUGGGUAAAGUCUGAUUUCACACUCAGUCCUCUGUGGUGCCACAGACCGUCCAAGGCCUGGUUCUGUCGGCCCAGCCCCACCCUCAGCUCUCGGCCAGGCCCCUGCGCACUUUGCUGACCGUUAUCAAGGUCGUUUCUGGGUACAAGCGUGUGGCUUCCCGAGGAGAGUGUGAACAUUCCCACAACAUCCAGGGAAUCUCGAGUGUCCUCUUGUGCACAGAAGCAAACACGUGCUCACGGUCACACAAACAGAAAUGUGUCUGUGGACAUGCAUCACACGUGUGUGCUUACCCACACUCAUGCCCACACACAGGCUCGGGCACACAUGCUCACACGCGCACAUGUGUGCACACAGGUCAGAGUAGCAGGAGU
rnacentral:lncRNA from 1 species